rnacentral:lncRNA from 1 species
UGAUAUGGUAUGAUGCUUCAGUUCUGAAUUUCAGUGUGAUUUGAGACUUCUCAACAUACACUUGGGAUAGUUCAGAGUUAUAUAUUUUGGUUUGAUAGAGAUUUCACAAUGGGAAACAGAUGUUCCUCUAAAGUUCUUCCCAUUGACUUCCAGAAAAAGGCCUCAGAAGGUGAGGAGGCAAAGUCACCUAAGGUGGCACCAAGGAAGAAAAGAACUUCUCUGGUGCGGAGACUAAAUUUUAAGAAAAAAUUGCUGCGACACAAUGCUGUCAUUUCAGUAGAACAGCAAAAUGAAGAACUCUGAAGCACUCUUUUGAAGGUAUUGUGGAAAUUUUAAAAAUUGGUUUGUUGUUCACUAUAUGUAGUAUACUGUUCCCAUAUGUAAAAGGAAUAAAGCUGUCAUGCAGCACUUUUUAAUGUGUGAA